UAGGAUGAACCUCUUUAUGUUUGAGCAGUC
rnacentral:piRNA from 1 species